rnacentral:rRNA from 1 species
GACGAACGCUGGCGGCGCGCUUAACACAUGCAAGUCGAACCGAAAGGCCUGCUUUCCCUUGUGGAUUGCGGGUACUCGAGUGGCGAACGGGUGAGUAACACGUGAGUGAUCUGCCCCCAACUUGGGUAUAAGCCUGGGAAACUGGGUCUAAUUCCCGAUAGGACUGCAGGGUGGUGCCUGUGGUGGAAAACGAUUUUCUAGUGGUUGGGGAUGAGCUCGCGGCCUAUCAGCUUGUUGGUGGGGUAAUGGCCUACCAAGGCGGCGACGGGUAGCCGGCCUGAGAGGGUGGACGGCCACAUUGGGACUGAGAUACGGCCCAGACUCCUACGGGAGGCAGCAGUGGGGAAUAUUGCACAAUGGGCGGAAGCCUGAUGCAGCGACGCCGCGUGGGGGAUGACGGCCUUCGGGUUGUAAACUCCUUUCGACCGCGAGGAAGCCACCUGGUUGGAAGGGUGGUGACGGUAGUGGUAGAAGAAGCACCGGCUAACUACGUG